rnacentral:rRNA from 1 species
AAUAAACGCUGGCGGCGUGCCUAACACAUGCAAGUCGAGCGAGAAAGCUCCUUCGGGAGUUAGUAAAGCGGCGAACGGGUGAGCAACACGUGAGAAUCUACCCUUUAGUGAAGAAUACCCUCGAGAAAUCGAGGCUAAUACUGCAUACGUCCCUUCGGGGAGAAAGAUGGCCUCUUUGCUAUCGCUAAAGGAUGAGCUUGCGUACUAUUAGCUAGUUGGCGGGGUAAAGCCCACCAAGGCAAUGAUGGUUAACCGGCCUGAGAGGGUGUACGGUCACACUGGAACUUAGACACGGUCCAGACUCCUACGGGAGGCAGCAGUGAGGAAUCUUGCGCAAUGGGCGAAAGCCUGACGCAGCGACGCCGCGUGGAGGAUGACGGUUUUCGGAUUGUAAACUCCUGUUAAGCGGGAAGAAAGCCUUGUUUCUAAUACAAGCAAGGUAUGACGGUACCGCUAGAGAAAGCACCGGCUAACUUCGUGCCAGCAGCCGCGGUAA